UUCUGGUUUUGCCGCUUGAAUCCCGUGCUCCCUUCUUCCUUCUCCUCUCCGAUUUACCUACGAAACUUCUUCUUUUCCUCUCAUUCUCUGUUUUCCCCUCUCCCUUCUGGCUCAGCUCCCUGUGCUUCAUCUCUGUAUUUUCUUUUCUCUGUAUUUCCCCGUGCUUCAUCUCCCCCUCCCUUCAUCAGUACACAUAAUGCCCUAACUGGGACGCCCUAAUUGGGACUGAAUUCAUUAAGCUGCAUCUUCGUAAGGCCCCAAUCGACCGAGAAAAUAAAUUUUGGAAGAUGUGGGAUGAGGUACUCAAGCAUGAGUUUGAAGUUCGGUAAAGGGAAGAUAAAGUGAGAGAGAGAGAGAGAGAGAGAGAGAGAGAGAGAGAACUCUUCAGAAGGAAAAUCGAAAAUUAUUGUGUUUGUACCAGGUUGUCACAUUUGUAGUAGUUUUAACUUGAUUUGGAUAAAUUGUAUGUAAAUAGUAUGUUGUACUUGAUUUGGAUAAAUUGUAUGUAAAUAGCACGUUGCAUGAAAUAGAUCAGUUUUGAAUGGAUCAAUUGUAAUGAUA